rnacentral:rRNA from 1 species
GACGAACGCUGGCGGCGUGCUUAACACAUGCAAGUCGAACGGAAAGGCCCUGCUUUUGUGGGGUGCUCGAGUGGCGAACGGGUGAGUAACACGUGAGUAAACUGCCCUUGACUUUGGGAUAACUUCAGGAAACUGGGGCUAAUACCGGAUAGGAGCUACUGCUGCAUGGUGGGGGUUGGAAAGUUUCGGCGGUUGGGGAUGGACUCGCGGCCUAUCAGCUUGUUGGUGGGGUAGUGGCUUACCAAGGCUUUGACGGGUAGCCGGCCUGAGAGGGUGACCGGCCACAUUGGGACUGAGGUACGGCCCAGACUCCUACGGGAGGCAGCAGUGGGGAGUAUUGCACAAUGGGCGGAAGCCUGAUGCAGCAGCGCCGCGUGCGGGAUGACGGCCUUCGGGUUGUAAACCGCUUUCGCCUGUGACGAAGCGUGAGUGACGGUAAUGGGUAAAGAAGCACCGGCUAACUACGUG